AUGGGAGUUUCCAUACCUUUGCUUUCUUGCAUGUUGAACUUCUUGAAUAAGUCCUUGAUUUGCUCGACGGAAUGGUCUCUAGCGACUCUUGCUCGAACUUGUGAGAGCUUUUGUUUUGCUUGGGGUGGAACAUCUUCUUCAUCAUCUUGUCCUUCUUCAUUGUUGACGUUGUCAUUUCCUUGUCAUGGUGUAGAAGGAGGUUGA
rnacentral:rRNA from 1 species